rnacentral:rRNA from 1 species
GAUGAACGCUGGCUACAGGCUUAACACAUGCAAGUCGAGCGACCGGCGCACGGGUGCGUAACACGUAUCCAACCUGCCCUUUCCUCGGGGAUAGCCUUUCGAAAUAAAUAUUAAUACCCGAUAGCAAGGGUGGGGAUGCGUUACAUUAGUUUGUUGGUGAUGUAACGGCUCAACAAGCCUUCGAUGGAUAGUGGUUCUGAGAGGAAGUUACACCGCAUUGGAACCGCGGCACGGUCCAAACUCCGACGGAAGGGAGAAGUGAGGAAUAUGGGUAAAUGGGCGCUAGUCUGACCCUGCCGAGUAGCGUGAAGAAUGAUGGCGUAUGGUAGGUCAACCUCUUGGAUAGAAGAAUCUGUAUUAUAUGAAUAAGGAUCGGCUAACUCCGUGCCAGCCGCCGCGGUAAUUC